rnacentral:rRNA from 1 species
UACGGGGGGGCAAGGCGUUGUUCGGAAUUACUGGGCGUAAAGGGCUCGUAGGUGGCCAACUAAGUCAGACGUGAAAUCCCUCGGCUUAACCGGGGAACUGCGUCUGAUACUGGAUGGCUUGAGUUUGGGAGAGGGACGCGGAAUUCCAGGUGUAGCGGUGAAAUGCGUAGAUAUCUGGAGGAACACCGGUGGCGAAGGCGGCGUCCUGGACCAACACUGACACUGAGGAGCGAAAGCCAGGGGAGACAAACGGG